rnacentral:tRNA from 1 species
GGCCGCCUGGCGUAAUGGCAACGCGUCUGACUACGAUGUUCGAUAAUCAGGAGAUUGCAGGUUCGACCCCUGCGGUGGUCA